UACCCGUAGUGCCAUCACCACG
rnacentral:miRNA from 1 species